CGUAUUUUGAAUUCACCAUAGGGCUCAGCCAUUCCUAGAGGAAUUCUAGGCACCUUGGAAAAAAGCGAAAUCGCGCUAGGGAUUUCAGCCGAUCUGGCAGCUCUUCCGAUGCCACUGGCGCGCCUUUUAAUCCAAAGCGCCUUUUUCGUGUCUCAUGUUUGCUCGUUUAUUGCGGAGGCCUAUAUAUGCUUCAAGAUGCUGGAAAAGGAUCACUUCCAAGUAAUCUGGAAGGCUGAUGCCAAGUACAUCUUGUGCGAGAAGCUUGAUAUGAUUCCUGACCUGGAACCGGAGUUGAUGGAAGGCACCACUGUGGCCUACCGAUGUCCGGCG